rnacentral:rRNA from 1 species
AUUGAACGCUGGCGGCAUGCUUUACACAUGCAAGUCGAGCGGCAGCGCGGGGGCAACCCUGGCGGCGAGCGGCGAACGGGUGAGGAAUACAUCGGAACGUGCCCGAGAGUGGGGGAUAACGCCGCGAAAGCGGCGCUAAUACCGCAUAUUCUCUGAGGAGGAAAGUGGGGGACCGCAAGGCCUCACGCUCACGGAGCGGCCGAUGUCGGAUUAGCUAGUUGGUGGGGUAAAGGCUUAACCCAAGGCGACGAAUCCGUAGCUGGUCUGAGAGGAUGAUCAGCCACACUGGGACUGAGACACGGCCCAGACUCCUACGGGAGGCAGCAGUGGGGAAUUUGGACAAUGGGGGCAACCCUGAUCCAGCCAUGCCGCGUGAGUGAAGAAGGCC